rnacentral:rRNA from 1 species
GUCUCCGUGCCGCAGCUAACGCAUUAAGUACCCCGCCUGGGGAGUACGGCCGCAAGGCUAAAACUCAAAGGAAUUGACGGGGCCCCGCACAAGCGGCGGAGCAUGCGGAUUAAUUCGAUGCAACGCGAAGAACCUUACCUGGGUUUGACAUGUACCGGAAACACCUAGAGAUAGGUGCCCCUUUUGGUCGGUACACAGGUGGUGCAUGGCUGUCGUCAGCUCGUGUCGUGAGAUGUUGGGUUAAGUCCCGCAACGAGCGCAACCCUCGUCCUAUGUUGCCAGCGGAUCAUGCCGGGGACUCAUAGGAGACUGCCGGGGUCAACUCGGAGGAAGGUGGGGAUGACGUCAAGUCAUCAUGCCCCUUAUGUCCAGGGCUUCACGCAUGCUACAAUGGCCGGUACAAAGGGCUGCAAACCAGCAAUGGUAAGCGAAUCCCAAAAAGCCGGUCUCAGUUCGGAUUGGGGUCUGCAACUCGACCCCAUGAAGUCGGAGUCGCUAGUAAUCGCAGAUCAGCAACGCUGCGGUGAAUACGUUCCCGGGGCUUGUACACACCGCCCGUCAAGUCAUGAAAGUCGGUAACACCCGAAGCCGGUGGCCUAACCCGUAAGGGAGGGAGCUGUCGAAGGUGGGACCGGUGAUUAGGACUAAGUCGUAACAAGGUAACCGUA